CUGGGUUAAAUCCACUAGGAGUUGGCAGAGAUGCCGAUUUGCCCUUCGGGGAGCUAGUGAGACGGUGCUGCAUGGCUGUCGUCAGCUCGUGUCGUGAGAUGUUGGGUUAAGUCCCGCAACGAGCGCAACCUCUGUCGUUAGUUGCCAGCCUUAAGUGGGGCACUCUAACGAGACUGCCGACGUCAAGUCGGAGGAAGGUGGAGAUGACGUCAAGUCAUCAUGGCCCUUAUGUCCAGGGCUACACACGUGCUACAAUGGUUGCUACAAAGCGUUGCGAACCCGCGAGGGGAAGCCAAUCGCAAAAAAGCAACCUCAGUACAGAUAGGAGUCUGCAACUCGACUCCUUGAAGUCGGAAUCGCUAGUAAUCGCUGAUCAGCAGGCAGCGGUGAAUG
rnacentral:rRNA from 1 species